AUUGAGGGAAGAAGCUUUUAAUGGCCCUGACACACCAACCAGAUGGCUGACCGUUGGCAGAAAAGACAGUCGGACUGA